rnacentral:rRNA from 1 species
UGGGGAAUAUUGCGCAAUGGGGGAAACCCUGACGCAGCAACGCCGCGUGAGUGAUGAAGGCCUUCGGGUCGUAAAGCUCUGUCGGAGGGGAAGAAACUAGGGAUGGCUAAUAUCCAUUCUUAUUGACGGUACCCUCAAAGGAAGCACCGGCUAACCACGUGCCAGCAGCCGCGGUAAUACGUGGGGUGCAAGCGUUGUUCGGAAUUACUGGGCGUAAAGCGCGUGUAGGCGGCCCAUUAUGUCAGGUGUGAAAGCCCUCGGCCUAACCGAGGAAGUGCGCCUGAAACUGAUAGGCUUGAGUACGAGAGAGGAGGACGGAAUUCCCAGUGUAGAGGUGAAAUUCGUAGAUAUUGGGAGGAACACCGGCGGCGAAAGCGGUUCUCUGGAUCGAUACUGACGCUAAGACGCGAAAGCGUGGGGAGCAAACAGG